AGUGUUCAUUUGUGUCUCUAAAUCUGCACAAUUACAUAUUUUUAAAUUAACCAUUAAUUGCAUGAAUUUUUCCACUCAAAAUUAAACAGGCAUCCGUGCAUUUCCCGUGACCUCUGUGGAGGGCUUUAGAGCCUUUCAGCUCGCUGUUUUGGUUUUCUGACCUGCAGGUUUACUGGUCUGGUUUAGUCUUACUCAGUCCCCCCUGCUUCAGCAUGCAGCUGCUUGCAGGAAAUGGCCUUAAUAAAUCAGUCAUACACAUGCAUUCCAUACAAGACACACGGAGCUAGCAACUAACUGGUGAACAUGCUAAACAGAGCUACACGGAGAGUGAUUGCUGUUCUGUGUUUGCUAACAUUACACAAAAACCGUAGCAUCAAUGUGGACAACUGCUUAACGCCACUGUACCCCAGCUUUUCUUAAGGGUUGAUGGUUAUCGUGGUUUCUCAACCUGUCUGGGUCCUGACCUCUGAAUCCACUUGAUCCAGGUGCCUGAUUCCUCCGGAA